UAUGUGAGCUUCGCUGUGUGUUGUUUGGACCAAUAAUGUCCUCAAGGACCCAUGUCGUUAGCGUGAAAAGCAAGACCCUUCAUCCGCACCGUUCUGGAGUUUAGGGAAUCUUCGAUCUCCGCCAUUAGAGAGGCUGAGAUGCAGAGGUCAGCAUGACAAAUCUGUUCAUUGGGGUUUCGAUAGGUCCUUUCGCCUUCUUUACCUCUAUCGAAACGAGACAGUUUCCAGAUCCAUAGCAUUGAACAUGUUCUUAACUACUUUAGCCACGAUCUACAAUUUAAUUUGUGUUAAUCUUCUGAUAGGCGGUGUCUCUACGGAUAUAAAAAGGCAUGCUUUGCUCCUCUCCAAAACAUCUUCUAUAUCUUUCUUAGUAUACUUAUUCUCUGUGGUUGCUACGAACUCAAGUUUAGCAUGACUAUUUUUUUUUAGCAUGACUUUGUUAGGUUCUUUUGUGAGAAAAUCAAUCAAAGAACCACUAAUUAGGUUCCUUUGUGAGGAAAGACUACAAUAGCUGCAGUGAUUUGUUGUCUCGGCUUAAGGUUCUUUUGACGAAAUUCAUAAAUUCUGUCUCCAUUGUUUGAGAAUACACCAAAUGCUGCUCAUGAGCUCACUCUUACAAGUAAUGUACUUGGAGUUGAAGACAAUGGCCCUGCCAAACAAAUGACACUCCCUUAUAAGGAAAACACUCAGCAGCCUCCCUGAGACAAGCGGUGCCAUCCCCAGCGCAGAGAUUGAUGCUAAUUUUAUUUGGGUAUUCGAGUCAGAAGAACACAACUUCUUCAACACAGGGUCUUUCCAGCCCCUCUGAGCAUAUGGAGAAUGGUUGACCACGACCCUUUAGUUCCGCACCCAUGGUUUGACCAUCGUUUGAGCGUCUAUGGUCACAUGUUCUUCAGUCAUAGACCAAGUGACUUCUACCCGAGCUUCAGGUUUUGUUAAGAACCUUCUGGAAUUAUAGGGUUUAUUUGUCUGAAAGUAAUGAAGACAAUGAAGCUAUGAUAAUGAGAGUUCUAAGCUGCAAAACAGUUCUUAGCAAAGCUAGAGAAGACUUCGGGUAUUGAGGUCCAUUUUGAUAAGGCAAACAUGUCUAACAAUAUAAGAUACAGAGGACGAAAGCGAGGAGAACGUGUUUGAUUCUGCAGCUGUCUGCGCUUUUGAUGGCAGCCAUUGAUGGUGGAAGUUCAGUAGGUGGCAUGAGAAAUUAUACAGUUAAUCCUCAAGUAAAUUAUUAUGAUACAAAUCAGAAAGAUGUCUUGACACGGUGUGGCCUAUAUUAGUAACGAACCAGUCAUAGAAUUGAAAAAAUAAUUAUAGUAUUGGUUCUAUUGGAUGACUACAGAUCUACAUGAUUAUGUUAGAGCUGCAUGAACAGCAAAUAUAAGAUUACUUUGUUUUAUUAAAUGCUUUUUCAUAUUUA